rnacentral:lncRNA from 1 species
GGCUCCCCACCCUGGCGUCACAGUCCUGACGUCACCAGCGUGACGUCACCGGAUGGCGUCACGCACCGCCGCGCGUCGGCCCCAAGGGCACCUCCCCCGCACGGCGUUCUGCGCAGGCGCAGCUCUGGGGGGCGGGGCGGGGCGGUCUCAAUAAAGGAAAUUUUGUUUCGGGAAGUCCCGGCAUUUGUGGGGAGGGAUCCUGGUGCUUGUGUGUGCUGUAGAAGCGUCGGCACAGAGCACGUGGCACAGCCGUGUGUCUGUCGGUUCUUGAAUGUCUCCGGUACGGGAGACUCUACACCCUCUUGGGCCAAUUGUUCCAGUGGUCAGUCACAUGCGCGGUAAAAGUUCUUCCUCAUGUUCAGGUGGAGCUUCAUCAAUUUCUGCGUGUUGCCUCUUGUCCUCUUGCCUGGCACUACUGACAGGAGCCUGGCUCCAUCCUUUUGACACCCUCAUUCAGACACGGGUAAGCAGUGAUGAGAUCCACUCGAGGGGUCGUUUCUCCUUGAGUCUAAACAGGCCCAGCUCGCUCAGCCUUUCCUCCUAAGAGAAACACUCCUUUAAUCACCUCUCUUGCUCUCUGUUGGACCUGCUCCGGGAGCUCCAUGUGUCUGUCUCUUGUCCUGAGGAACCCAGAAGUGGACACAGCACUCCAGGUGUGCCUCAUCAGGGCUGAGUACAAGGGGAGGAUCUUCCUUCUGUGACCUGCUGGCAAUGCUCUUCCUAAUGUCCCCCAGGAUCCCACUGGCCUCCUUGGCCACCGGGACACACUGCUGGCUCAUGGGCAGCUUGUUGUCCACCAGGACCCCCAGGUCCUUCUCCAAGCUGCCCGCCCGCAGGUCAGCCCCAAACCUGGUUCAGACCCACAGGAUUACUGAAGGAGUCGCAGUGUGAAUAACAAGCACAGUGCAGGAAGGUGUAAAUGUAACAGCAUUGGGAAGGCACAGAGAAGAGAUUGGCCUGAUGCACGCUGAUACAUGCGCACCCAAAACCCAGUGCUUCUUUAAUCCCAGCCUGCAAACACCUUCAAAACAAUUUGCAGCAUAUCCAUGCUGCCCAGGCACCCAUACAGAACCUGUGCUGAUAUUGCCACCACUCAGCUGUUUGUUGUGGCUGGGUCUGCAUCUCCUCAGCCUGCCCAGGUACAGCAUCGAGCCAGCCGUGGACCAAACACCUCCCAGUCAGGUGCAGAAGGAAGACCAAGUAAUGGUUACUGGGAAUGGAGAGAUAAGCUAUGACUGCCUUUCAGUGUGUGAAUCCUAAUGUUGCCAUCAAAGCACAGAUUUAAUAAAAACAAGACAACCUAAAACUGAAUUGCCUCU